rnacentral:rRNA from 1 species
GGACUGUAACUGACGCUGAGGUACGAAAGUGUGGGGAGCAAACAGGAUUAGAUACCCUGGUAGUCCACACCGUAAACGAUGAGCACUAGGUGUCGGGGUCGAAGACUUCGGUGCCGCAGUUAACGCAUUAAGUGCUCCGCCUGGGGAGUACGUACGCAAGUAUGAAACUCAAAGGAAUUGACGGGGACCCGCACAAGCAGCGGAGCAUGUGGUUUAAUUCGAGGCAACGCGAAGAACCUUACCAGGGCUUGACAUCCCUCUGACCGGCCUGAUAACGAAGGCCUUUCUUCGGACAGAGGUGACAGGUGGUGCAUGGUUGUCGUCAGCUCGUGUCGUGAGAUGUUGGGUUAAGUCCCGCAACGAGCGCAACCCUUGUCUUUAGUUGCCAUCAUUGAGUUGGGCACUCUAGAGAGACUGCCGGGGACAACUCGGAGGAAGGUGGGGAUGACGUCAAAUCAUCAUGCCCCUUAUGUUCUGGGCUACACACGUGCUACAAUGGUCGGUACAAAGAGAAGCGAGACCGCGAGGUGGAGCAAAUCUCAAAAACCGAUCCCAGUUCGGAUUGCAGGCUGCAACUCGCCUGCAUGAAGUCGGAGUUGC